GGGUUGUGAGGUUAAGCGACUAAGCGUACACGGUGGAUGCCCUGGCAGUCAGAGGCGAUGAAGGACGUGCUAAUCUGCGAUAAGCGUCGGUAAGGUGAUAUGAACCGUUAUAACCGGCGAUUUCCGAAUGGGGAAACCCAGUGUGAUUCGUCACACUAUCAUUAACUGAAUCCAUAGGUUAAUGAGGCGAACCGGGGGAACUGAAACAUCUAAGUACCCCGAGGAAAAGAAAUCAACCGAGAUUCCCCCAGUAGCGGCGAGCGAACGGGGAGGAGCCCAGAGCCUGAAUCAGUGUGUGUGUUAGUGGAAGCGUCUGGAAAGGCGCGCGAUACAGGGUGACAGCCCCGUACACAAAAAUGCACAUGCUGUGAGCUCGAUGAGUAGGGCGGGACACGUGGUAUCCUGUCUGAAUAUGGGGGGACCAUCCUCCAAGGCUAAAUACUCCUGACUGACCGAUAGUGAACCAGUACCGUGAGGGAAAGGCGAAAAGAACCCCGGCGAGGGGAGUGAAAAAGAACCUGAAACCGUGUACGUACAAGCAGUGGGAGCACAGAGCAAUCUGUGUGACUGCGUACCUUUUGUAUAAUGGGUCAGCGACUUAUAUUCUGUAGCAAGGUUAACCGAAUAGGGGAGCCGAAGGGAAACCGAGUCUUAACUGGGCGUUAAGUUGCAGGGUAUAGACCCGAAACCCGGUGAUCUAGCCAUGGGCAGGUUGAAGGUUGGGUAACACUAACUGGAGGACCGAACCGACUAAUGUUGAAAAAUUAGCGGAUGACUUGUGGCUGGGGGUGAAAGGCCAAUCAAACCGGGAGAUAGCUGGUUCUCCCCGAAAGCUAUUUAGGUAGCGCCUCGUGAAUUCAUCUCCGGGGGUAGAGCACUGUUUCGGCAAGGGGGUCAUCCCGACUUACCAACCCGAUGCAAACUGCGAAUACCGGAGAAUGUUAUCACGGGAGACACACGGCGGGUGCUAACGUCCGUCGUGAAGAGGGAAACAACCCAGACCGCCAGCUAAGGUCCCAAAGUCAUGGUUAAGUGGGAAACGAUGUGGGAAGGCCCAGACAGCCAGGAUGUUGGCUUAGAAGCAGCCAUCAUUUAAAGAAAGCGUAAUAGCUCACUGGUCGAGUCGGCCUGCGCGGAAGAUGUAACGGGGCUAAACCAUGCACCGAAGCUGCGGCAGCAACACUGUGUGUUGUUGGGUAGGGGAGCGUUCUGUAAGCCUGUGAAGGUGUGCUGUGAGGCAUGCUGGAGGUAUCAGAAGUGCGAAUGCUGACAUAAGUAACGAUAAAGCGGGUGAAAAGCCCGCUCGCCGGAAGACCAAGGGUUCCUGUCCAACGUUAAUCGGGGCAGGGUGAGUCGACCCCUAAGGCGAGGCCGAAAGGCGUAGUCGAUGGGAAACAGGUUAAUAUUCCUGUACUUGGUGUUACUGCGAAGGGGGGACGGAGAAGGCUAUGUUGGCCGGGCGACGGUUGUCCCGGUUUAAGCGUGUAGGCUGGUUUUCCAGGCAAAUCCGGAAAAUCAAGGCUGAGGCGUGAUGACGAGGCACUACGGUGCUGAAGCAACAAAUGCCCUGCUUCCAGGAAAAGCCUCUAAGCAUCAGGUAACAUCAAAUCGUACCCCAAACCGACACAGGUGGUCAGGUAGAGAAUACCAAGGCGCUUGAGAGAACUCGGGUGAAGGAACUAGGCAAAAUGGUGCCGUAACUUCGGGAGAAGGCACGCUGAUAUGUAGGUGAAGUCCCUCGCGGAUGGAGCUGAAAUCAGUCGAAGAUACCAGCUGGCUGCAACUGUUUAUUAAAAACACAGCACUGUGCAAACACGAAAGUGGACGUAUACGGUGUGACGCCUGCCCGGUGCCGGAAGGUUAAUUGAUGGGGUCAGCGCAAGCGAAGCUCUUGAUCGAAGCCCCGGUAAACGGCGGCCGUAACUAUAACGGUCCUAAGGUAGCGAAAUUCCUUGUCGGGUAAGUUCCGACCUGCACGAAUGGCGUAAUGAUGGCCAGGCUGUCUCCACCCGAGACUCAGUGAAAUUGAACUCGCUGUGAAGAUGCAGUGUACCCGCGGCAAGACGGAAAGACCCCGUGAACCUUUACUAUAGCUUGACACUGAACAUUGAGCCUUGAUGUGUAGGAUAGGUGGGAGGCUUUGAAGUGUGGACGCCAGUCUGCAUGGAGCCGACCUUGAAAUACCACCCUUUAAUGUUUGAUGUUCUAACGUGGACCCGUGAUCCGGGUUGCGGACAGUGUCUGGUGGGUAGUUUGACUGGGGCGGUCUCCUCCUAAAGAGUAACGGAGGAGCACGAAGGUUGGCUAAUCCUGGUCGGACAUCAGGAGGUUAGUGCAAUGGCAUAAGCCAGCUUGACUGCGAGCGUGACGGCGCGAGCAGGUGCGAAAGCAGGUCAUAGUGAUCCGGUGGUUCUGAAUGGAAGGGCCAUCGCUCAACGGAUAAAAGGUACUCCGGGGAUAACAGGCUGAUACCGCCCAAGAGUUCAUAUCGACGGCGGUGUUUGGCACCUCGAUGUCGGCUCAUCACAUCCUGGGGCUGAAGUAGGUCCCAAGGGUAUGGCUGUUCGCCAUUUAAAGUGGUACGCGAGCUGGGUUUAGAACGUCGUGAGACAGUUCGGUCCCUAUCUGCCGUGGGCGCUGGAGAACUGAGGGGGGCUGCUCCUAGUACGAGAGGACCGGAGUGGACGCAUCACUGGUGUUCGGGUUGUCAUGCCAAUGGCACUGCCCGGUAGCUAAAUGCGGAAGAGAUAAGUGCUGAAAGCAUCUAAGCACGAAACUUGCCCCGAGAUGAGUUCUCCCUGACCCUUUAAGGGUCCUGAAGGAACGUUGAAGACGACGACGUUGAUAGGCCGGGUGUGUAAGCGCAGCGAUGCGUUGAGCUAACCGGUACUAAUGAACCGUGAGGCUUAACCUUACAACGCCGAAGGUGUUU
rnacentral:rRNA from 1 species